UGUAUUGCCAGCCAUUGCAAAGACAGGCUGUGCAAAAGUAUACAACUUUCUUUUGCUUUUUUUAAAAAAAUUAUGGCUUCAGUUGGUUAGCCCUGGCCUUGUGUCUGAACUUGACAGCUAUGGAAAAUUCCAUUCUCAGAUUAGAUACACAGUCUGAUCCAGCUAUUUUUUCUUCCCCAGCCUCUGCUAACUAACACCUGUUUACCAACUAGAAUCUCUUGCACAUAUUUUUGCAUAGAAGGGGAGGGAGUGCUGACUGUGCAAAUGUCUCUCUGCUAUGGCUGAUGCUAUGGAGCAGUGGCAUGGCAGGUGGAACCAGACUGAAAUCGCCAGUGUCAAUAUGACAAUUCAUUUAGCACCACUAGCAAGAGCACAUGCAGCAGCAUGGCAUCUCCAGGUUUGGGUCCUCCCCUCUGGAGCAGCAGAAAACCAGUUUGCUCCAACUUCCAUGUGAC